rnacentral:lncRNA from 1 species
AAUUGAGGAAGGAGAAUCACCAGAUUAUUACAGGCAUCAAUAUCACAACUCAGCGUUACUUGAGUGUUGAGGCUGAUAACUCAAUCCUAAGAGUUCAAAUAAGCGAGCUCAGCAAUAGAUUGGAGUCUUUGAAUGAGAUAAUCGGUUCCUUGAAUUCAAACAAUGGUGUUUUUGGAGACUCGAUCACCUUCAAUGAACCAGCAGCUGACAGCUUCUUGAACCCAUGGAACAUGGCCUACCUGAAUCAGCCUAUAAUGGCGUCUGCAGAGAUGUUUCAUUACUGAUCUGUUCUCGAGCAGAAGAGAGAUAGAGAGAUCUGUUUAGUAAUAAUCAAGC